rnacentral:rRNA from 1 species
GACGAACGCUGGCGGCGUGCUUAACACAUGCAAGUCGAACGGUGAUGCUCCAGCUUGCUGGAGUGGAUCAGUGGCGAACGGGUGAGUAACACGUGAGCAACCUGCCCCAGACUCUGGAAUAAGCGCUGGAAACGGCGUCUAAUACUGGAUACGAAACUGGCCCGCAUGGGCAUGGUUUGGAAAGUUUUUCGGUUUGGGAUGGGCUCGCGGCCUAUCAGCUUGUUGGUGAGGUAAUGGCUCACCAAGGCGACGACGGGUAGCCGGCCUGAGAGGGCGACCGGCCACACUGGGACUGAGACACGGCCCACACUCCUACGGGAGGCAGCAGUGGGGAAUAUUGCACAAUGGGCGAAAGCCUGAUGCAGCGACGCCGCGUGAGGGAUGACGGCCUUCGGGUUGUAAACCUCUUUCAGUAGGGAAGAAGCGAAAGUGACGGUACCUGCAGAAGAAGCACCGGCUAACUACGUG